CAGUAGCCGCGGUAAUACGUAGGGUGCGAGCGUUAAUCGGAAUUACUGGGCGUAAAGCGUGCGCAGGCGGUUGUGUAAGACAGGUGUGAAAUCCCCGGGCUUAACCUGGGAACUGCGCUUGUGACUGCACAGCUAGAGUAUGGCAGAGGGGGGUGGAAUUCCACGUGUAGCAGUGAAAUGCGUAGAGAUGCGGAGGAACACCGAUGGCGAAGGCAGCCCCCUGGGCCAAUACUGACGCUCAUGCACGAAAGCGUGGGGAGCAAACAGGAUUAGAUACCCGUGUAGUCCCUGUCUCUUAUAC
rnacentral:rRNA from 1 species